GAUACUCUUGGGGGUCGGCGUUGGGAGAUGCGCUAACCGUCAAGCUGUUUUUUUUUAGACAAACCGUCAAGCUGUUGUCAAGGGCAAUGAAAUCGUGGCCACAGAAUAUCGGAUCAUAGUAACGCGGUCCCAGGCCGUUGGCUUCCCUCCCGCCGCAGGGACAACUGGUGGCUGCCAUGCCACUUCGCCACCUAACAUGUGUGGCCUCCACGCGCCACCGGAUUCUCCUUCCCAUACUCGUUCGUCCUUAGCGUCCCCUACCUUGCUCCCUCUACUAUCGCGCUUGAUCUCCCUCCCCCCAUGCUCUUCCCUCUCGUCCUUCCCCGGUCUCCAAACUCCUUCGCAUGAAACAGUACUGAAAUAUCAGUUUCACAUUGGCUGAAAAUCUGCUAAAUGAAGGCAUAGGGAUUUUGUCGGGCCAAAGGUUCAUAAUCUAUAGCACACAUACAGAUUCGACACAUAUGGCUAGCCAAAUAUCUGGUACCAUAGCAUCUAGUGGGGUGUGCUAUAAUGAUAAACACAGAAUGCCGUGUAAGCUGAAAGCACUACGCUGUGUAGCAUCGGAUUGUUUACCACAAGAGGUAGAGGUAAGGAAGUGGAUGAACGGAUAUCAUAUCAUCAGGUCCUUUCCAAACGAUAGGCAUUGGAAAACGAAUGCAAAGUCCAAUGGUUACCUACUCCAACAAGGUCCGAAUGUUCGGUGCCAUUCUUAUGGUUCUCGUAGUGGCAGUGAAACUACAGAGUGCAAUAUUCCUGAAGAUGGCAACAAUCCUUACAGGGAUUUUGAUGAGCAUCGAAGAGGAAUGUCACAUUUUUCAGAUAGUCAAGUUGCAGCUCAGGAAAAAACACUAUAUUCUACUCAAGGGCUGUCUAAAGCGUGCCAAUUUGUCUAUAAUGAUGCAAAGUUUGUGAAUGAAAGAGCUCAGAGUGAUAUUCUUUUGCUUUCACGUGGCAUCACAAGGUUGAACAAACGUGCAUCUAAGGAUGUUGCUGUAUUAGGGUUGGGGUUUCUCAAGCUUGAUGCUCGUGCAAGGAAGGACACCCGAAAGAUUGAUAACAGUGUGAAGGAACAGGCAGCCCACCUAACCAAUUUCGCUAGAAUAUUGAAGGAGCGAGCUCAUUCAGACUUGAAGAAAGCAGCAGAUCAACAUUGGAGUGAUGGUGCUUUGGAGGCAGAUCUGCGACGAGCUGACAUGGUUGUUCGACGACGUGCCAUGGAGGAUGCUUUCAUGGCUUUAAAGUUUGUCCGGGAUAUUCAUGACAUGAUGGCAACCAAACUACAAUAUCAGUUCAUCACACUGGAGAAAAAUGGGAAGAUUCUUAAGUUGUUCCCUCGUGAAGUUUCUACUGAUCAAAUUGCUGCCAUAGAGGAUGCAUAUCUUAAUAUGGCAUCUGCCUUAUCUGAGGCUGAUGGUAUCGACUACACCAAUCCUGAGGAGCUUGAAUUAUUAGUAGCGGCUCUUAUUGACCUGGAUGCUAUGGAUGGGAAAAAGAGUGUUUCCUUGAUAGUUGAAUGUUCAAGCUCUCCAGAUGUUAAUACCAGGAAAGCUUUGGCUAAUGCAUUGGCUGCAGCUCCAUCCAUGUGGACCCUAGGGAAUGCUGGGAUGGGCGCAUUACAGAGAUUGGCUCAAGAUUCCAAUCCCGCUGUAGCUAGCUCUGCAGCAAGAGCCAUUGGCGAACUCAGAAAGCAGUGGGAGCUUGAAGAGGGUGACAGUCUGAGGUUUGUCAUGAACCAAAACUUGAUUUCCGAAGAGACUGACAGCGACAGUUGAGUAGCAGAUGAUAUCACCACGUGAGGUGUAAAUCAGAUGAAUGGCUCAACACGUACAUACUGUAAUAGGAACCGAAAAAUGUGUAACUGAGUCGACUGCAUUUCUCUGUGUUACGUCGCAGCAUAAAAUGUGCUGCUUGUUGACUACCUCACGAGAAGGCAUGUCAAGGUACCUGGUAAGUGCUAAACAAAUGUGAAGUGGUGUAAUGAGAACUCAUUUCCUCCGACCCAAUUAUUAUAUACUCCCUCUGUCCCAUAAUAUAAAACGCUCUUAUAUUAUGUGACGAAGGGAGUAGAUGAAUUUGGCCAGAGGUCUUGCAAAGUCAUCCUUUUUAUUUAGGUUUGCAAUUUCUUUUGAGAGAAAAAAUAGGACUCUGCUGCAUUUUUUAUUGAUUUUCAAAUAAAUGGUACAAACUAUAUUUACAAAAC
rnacentral:rRNA from 1 species